rnacentral:tRNA from 1 species
UCCCCAGUGGCUCAGCAGUAAAGAAUCUGCCUGCCAUGCAGGAGACUCAGGUUCAAUCCCUGGCUUGGGAA